AGUUCUGGGUGGGAUCAGGCAAGAGGGUCCUCUGUGAAGGAAGGGACAGAGGGUCAUGGGCUGACUGUGGUUCUAGGUUUACCACCUUAUUGUGCCUUGUUCAUAAAGGAGAGCAAAGCAAUAUUUCUAACUACUCCCAGUCUUGACAAUAUUCAUAUUACCAAAGAAGUGAUUUCACUGAAGAUGUGGGGAAUGCUAAAUAACGCCCCUGCAGAUUCUGGUUCAUGAUCAGGCUCCUCAUGGGCUGGCUCACCACCCUGGAGUGUUGCUUCU
rnacentral:lncRNA from 1 species